UACGUAGGGUGCAAGCGUUGUCCGGAAUUAUUGGGCGUAAAGAGCUCGUAGGCGGUUUGUCGCGUCUGCUGUGAAAACUCGGGGCUUAACUCCGGGCCUGCAGUGGGUACGGGCGGACUAGAGUGCGGUAGGGGAGACUGGAAUUCCUGGUGUAGCGGUGAAAUGCGCAGAUAUCAGGAGGAACACCGGUGGCGAAGGCGGGUCUCUGGGCCGUAACUGACGCUGAGGAGCGAAAGCGUGGGGAGCGAACAGG
rnacentral:rRNA from 1 species